GCAAAACGCGAAGAACCUUACCUAGGCUUGACAUGCAUCUCUAAGCGCGUGAAAGCGCGUGACCCUUCGGGGGAUUUGCACAGGUGCUGCAUGGCCGUCGUCAGCUCGUGUCGUGAGAUGUUGGGUUAAGUCCCGCAACGAGCGCAGCCCUUGUGAACAGUUGCCAGCACUUAAGGUGGGAACUCUGUUCAGACUGCCCAGAUCAACUGGGAGGAAGGCGGGGACGACGUCAAGUCAUCACGGCCCUUACGUCCUGGGCCACACACGUGCUACAAUGGCCGGUACAGAGGGCAGCUACCCCGCGAGGGGAUGCGAAUCUCUAAAGCCGGUCUCAGUUCGGAUUGGAGUCUGCAACUCGACCCCAUGAAGUCGGAAUCGCUAGUAAUCGCGUAACAGCAUGACGCGGUGAAUACGUUCCCGGGUCUUGUACACACCG
rnacentral:rRNA from 1 species